rnacentral:rRNA from 1 species
CUCCUGACUGACCGAUAGUGAACCAGUACCGUGAGGGAAAGGCGAAAAGAACCCCGGCGAGGGGAGUGAAAAAGAACCUGAAACCGUGUACGUACAAGCAGUGGGAGCACGCUUAGGCGUGUGACUGCGUACCUUUUGUAUAAUGGGUCAGCGACUUAUAUUCUGUAGCAAGGUUAACCGAAUAGGGGAGCCGAAGGGAAACCGAGUCUUAACUGGGCGUUAAGUUGCAGGGUAUAGACCCGAAACCCGGUGAUCUAGCCAUGGGCAGGUUGAAGGUUGGGUAACACUAACUGGAGGACCGAACCGACUAAUGUUGAAAAAUUAGCGGAUGACUUGUGGCUGGGGGUGAAAGGCCAAUCAAACCGGGAGAUAGCUGGUUCUCCCCGAAAGCUAUUUAGGUAGCGCCUCGUGAAUUCAUCUCCGGGGGUAGAGCACUGUUUCGGCAAGGGGGUCAUCCCGA